rnacentral:rRNA from 1 species
UACGUAGGGACCGAGCGUUGUCCGGAAUCAUUGGGCGUAAAGAGCGUGUAGGCGGCCACUUAAGUCCUGCGUGAAAUCUUGCGGCUCAACCGCAAGCGGUCGUGGGAAACUGGGUGGCUAGAGUGCGGGAGAGGAGAGUGGAAUUCCUGGUGUAGCGGUGAAAUGCGCAGAUAUCAGGAGGAACACCGGUGGCGAAGGCGGGUCUCUGGGCCGAAACUGACGCUGAGGAGCGAAAGCGUGGGGAGCAAACAGG